AUACGUAGGGGGCGAGCGUUGUCCGGAAUGAUUGGGCGUAAAGGGCGCGUAGGCGGCCCGGUAAGUCUGGAGUGAAAGUCCUGUUUUUAAGAUGGGAAUUGCUUUGGAUACUGUCGGGCUUGAGUGCAGGAGAGGUAAGUGGAAUUCCCAGUGUAGCGGUGAAAUGCGUAGAGAUUGGGAGGAACACCAGUGGCGAAGGCGACUUACUGGACUGUAACUGACGCUGAGGCUAGAAAGUGUGGGGAGCAAACAGGAUUAGAUACCCUGGUAGUCCACACUGUAAACGGUGAAUGCUAGGUGUAGGGGGUAUCGACCCCUUCUGUGCCGCAGUCAACACAAUAAGCAUUCCGCCUGGGGAGUACGGCCGCAAGGUUGAAACUCAAAUGAAUUGACGGGG
rnacentral:rRNA from 1 species